GCUUACGGCCAUACCUCUCUGGCUCCGCCUGAUCUCGUCUGAUCUCAGAAGCUAAGCAGAGUAGGGCCUGGUUAGUACUUUGUAUGGAAGACCGCCUGGGAAUGCCCAGGUGCCGUAAGCU
ensembl:rRNA 5S_rRNA 5S ribosomal RNA